rnacentral:tRNA from 1 species
GGAGGGUAAGCGAAUUGGCAAGCGGUCUGAUUCGAAAUCAGAUGCCGGGAAACCGGUUGUGGGUUCGAGUCCCAUGCCCUCCG